rnacentral:tRNA from 1 species
UGGCUUGUGACGCAACGGCAGCGCACCGGGUUGUUACCCCGGGGGUUCCUGGUUCGAAUCCAGGCAGGCCAGC